UAAUUUCAGAGCAGCCUUUCAAGAGCUCUGUAGCUUAGGUAAGCUGGUCAGGAUCCUAGAGUUCCUCAAAUGCUCUCGAUGCAGGAAGAGGACAAGCUUCCCCAGCAGAGCAACACGUCCCUCUGCGCUGGAGGAGACACAACAGGUCCUGCAGGCACGUCAGCUCACAGCGAAGGCCAGCAAACAUUCCUGCGGGAUCAGGAGACAAUCGUCCUUGUGAAAGCAGAUCAUUUAUUUCUACUCAUUCUUCUGCCUCUCAAUGGGUUACUGAGCCGUGAAAGGAUCUUGCACCACCUCCAUACCUCAUCUACCCACAGAGAAUUAGGCUGGAAGACCAAGACUGCAUAGCCUGCUGCUUCAGGAACCUCACAAGGAAGGCAGAUGGGGCUGGUGGAGCAGACAGAGGGACCCCAAGGAACAGCACGGACAGCCCAGCACUUCCAGCAGGAUUGUCCCGACUGAGCUGCAGCUCCUCCGGGCUCCCUCCAGAAGAAAGCCUCCCACUGCUGUCAUUUGUGGAACGCUGUGUCCAGCCCUGCCCUGCGUGCCUCCUGUGCUGCACUUUGCACUCUGUGCCUGCGGGCAGCAGGUCAGCCAUCCUAAAACCCCACUUCACUCCCAGAGCGGGUCUUCUGUUUUGCAAUGAAGCGGGCAGAGUCCUGCGAAGGGAGCAGCACGUGGGCUAUCAUCAGAGCCCCAGUGAAGGCCACGAAAGCAUUUCUGAUUUUCAAGUGCUUCUUUCUGCAGACAAUAAAGUUUCCUUGGUGUGCUGUUUGAGUAC